GACCUUCUCUGUUUCUUCCACAGAUUGAUUUGACUUAAUAAAUCAGAAUCGAACGGCUGGUUCUCCACAAUCGGCCUCGUGGCAUCAUGGGAGUCCUGCUCCUGAACAAGUACUUGCUGAGCAGCUACGGGUUCAAGUACCCGAUCUUCCUCACCAUGUGCCACAUGACGUCGUGCUCCCUCCUCAGCUACGUCGCCAUCGCGUGGAUGAGGAUGGUCCCUAUGCAGACGGUUCGGUCCCGCGUCCAGCUCCUCAAGAUCGCGGCGCUGAGCCUCGUGUUCUGCGUGUCGGUCGUCUUCGGGAACAUCUCCCUAAGGUUUCUGCCCGUUUCGUUUAACCAGGCGAUAGGGGCUACGACGCCGUUUUUCACGGCCGUGUUUGCGUAUUUGAUUACGUUGAAGAGGGAGGCUUGGUUGACUUACGUCACUUUGGUCCCUGUGGUUACUGGUGUUGUCAUUGCUAGUGGGGUAAUGGAGAAGCUAAACUCCAUGAAUCUCCUCCUGUACAUGGCUCCCAUUGCUGUUGUGUUCCUUCUUUCUGCUACACUCAUCAUGGAGAAGAACGUUGUUGGCAUUACAAUCGCACUCGCCAGAGACGAUUUUAGAAUCGUUUGGUAUCUGCUUUUCAAUUCCGCCCUCGCUUAUUUCGUCAACUUGACUAAUUUCUUAGUCACUAAACACACAAGCGCUCUUACUCUGCAGGUGCUAGGAAACGCCAAAGGUGCAGUAGCAGUGGUGGUUUCGAUUCUAAUAUUCAAGAAUCCUGUCUCAGUGACUGGAAUGUUGGGUUACUCGCUCACGGUCUGCGGAGUUAUCCUCUACAGCGAAGCCAAGAAGCGAAGCAAAUGACAACAGAACCUUCGUUUUAUUUGUUAGGCCCCUCAGGUAAACAACACAAGACAAUUUUCCUUUGCUGUGAACAAAAAACCCUUACACAGCAUCUUUGGUCCAUUUAACAACACCAAAGGAUCAGAGUACCUAAAGCAAUCAUUUACAGGACUUCUCAAAUAAGUUUUUUUUUUCUGCUUUGUUAUUUUUUUUGUCGUAGGUUGUUGUUCCUAAGAGUAACUUCGUUUUAGUCUUUUUUGUCAGAUUCUUUACAUCUAGUUUUGUAAUAUUAACAUUGAUUAAUUAAUGGAAAAGACAGGCUUUUUCUUUCA